GCAUAUCAAUAAGCGGAGGAAAAGAAACCAACAGGGAUUGCCUCAGUAACGGCGAGUGAAGCGGCAACAGCUCAAAUUUGAAAUCUGGCCUCCUUGCGGGGUCCGAGUUGUAAUUUGCAGAGGAUGCUUCGGGUGCGGCCGCGGCGUAAGUCCCCUGGAACGGGGCGUCACAGAGGGUGAGAAUCCCGUCUUGAGUCGCUGGACCCGCGCCCGUGUGAAGCUCCUUCGACGAGUCGAGUUGUUUGGGAAUGCAGCUCUAAAUGGGUGGUAAAUUUCAUCUAAAGCUAAAUACUGGCUGGAGACCGAUAGCGCACAAGUAGAGUGAUCGAAAGGUUAAAAGCACCUUGAAAAGGGAGUUAAAUAGCACGUGAAAUUGUUGAAAGGGAAGCGCUUGCGACCAGACUCGGCCGUGGAGGCUCAGCGGGCAUUCGUGCCCGUGCACUCCCCCUCGGCCGGGCCAGCAUCAGCUCUGGCAGCCGGUCAAAGGCCCCUGGAAUGUGUCGCCCUCCGGGGCGUCUUAUAGCCAGGGGUGCAAUGCGGCUCGCCGGGGCUGAGGAACGCGCUUCGGCUCGGAUGCUGGCGUAAUGGUCGUAAGCGACCCGUCUUGAAACACGGACC
rnacentral:rRNA from 2 species